rnacentral:lncRNA from 1 species
AGCGCUUAUAGGGUCAGGCCAAUUAAUGGGGUUUUUCCGCCCUAUAGUGGCUGCAGUCGGGGAUGUCCUUAUAGGGCUGGGGUGUUAAUAGGGUCAGGCUGCUUAUAGGGCCGGUCUCCCUAUGGGGUCAGGCUCCUUAUAGGGUCAGAGCUCUUAUAGGGUCAGGCCAAUUAAUGGGGUUUUUCCGCCCUAUAGUGGCUGCAGUCGGGGAUGUCCUUAUAGGGCUGGGUUCCUUAUGGGGUCACAGUCCUUAUAGGGCCGGUCUCCCUAUGGGGUCAGGCUCCUUAUAGGGUCAGAGCGCUUAUAGGGUCAGCCCAUUAAUAGGGUUUUUCUGCCCUAUAGUGGCUGCAGUCGGAGAUGUCCUUAUAGGGCUGGGUUCCUUAUAGGGUCACAGUCCUUAUAGGGCCGGUCUCCCUAUGGGGUCAGGCUCCUUAUAGGGUCAGAGCUCUUAUAGG